CGGAACGAGUUAUCUGAACCUUCGGGGAACGAUAACGGCGUCCACGUGCGGACGGGUGAGUAAUGCCUAGGAAAUUGCCCUGAUGUGGGGGAUAACCAUUGGAAACGAUGGCUAAUACCGCAUAACGCCUACGGGCCAAAGAGGGGGACCUUCGGGCCUCUCGCGUCAGGAUAUGCCUAGGUGGGAUUAGCUAGUUGGUGAGGUAAGGGCUCACCAAGGCGACGAUCCCUAGCUGGUCUGAGAGGAUGAUCAGCCACACUGGAACUGAGACACGGUCCAGACUCCUACGGGAGGCAGCAGUGGGGAAUAUUGCACAAUGGGCGCAAGCCUGAUGCAGCCAUGCCGCGUGUGUGAAGAAGGCCUUCGGGUUGUAAAGCACUUUCAGUCGUGAGGAAGGCAGUAUCGUUAAUAGCGGUAUUGUUUGACGUUAGCGACAGAAGAAGCACCGGCUAACUCCGUGCCAGCAGCCGCGGUAAUACGGAGGGUGCGAGCGUUAAUCGGAAUUACUGGGCGUAAAGCGCAUGCAGGUGGUUUGUUAAGUCAGAUGUGAAAGCCCGGGGCUCAACCUCGGAAUAGCAUUUGAAACUGGCAGACUAGAGUACUGUAGAGGGGGGUAGAAUUUCAGGUGUAGCGGUGAAAUGCGUAGAGAUCUGAAGGAAUACCGGUGGCGAAAGCGGCCCCCUGGACAGAUACUGACACUCAGAUGCGAAAGCGUGGGGAGCAAACAGGAUUAGAUACCCUGGUAGUCCACGCCGUAAACGAUGUCUACUUGGAGGUUGUGGCCUUGAGCCGUGGCUUUCGGAGCUAACGCGUUAAGUAGACCGCCUGGGGAGUACGGUCGCAAGAUUAAAACUCAAAUGAAUUGACGGGGGCCCGCACAAGCGGUGGAGCAUGUGGUUUAAUUCGAUGCAACGCGAAUAACCUUACCUACUCUUGACAUCCAGAGAACUUUCCAGAGAUGGAUUGGUGCCUUCGGGAACUCUGAGACAGGUGCUGCAUGGCUGUCGUCAGCUCGUGUUGUGAAAUGUUGGGGUUAAGUCCCGCAACGAGCGCAACCCUUAUCCUUGUUUGCCAGC
rnacentral:rRNA from 1 species